rnacentral:lncRNA from 1 species
UUUUGCUGGGCUGCUGAAAACAUUUGAGCUGCAGUUUUACAUACUGUAUUCUUGUUUCUUCUGCUAUCAGGAUCUGGACUGUUUAGGAAGGAAAUGUAGAGUUAACAUCUGCAAUCUGACGUGGUCUUCCUCUUCAGAAAAAUACUGUUUCUGGCAUUCAUGUUGGGAAAGAGGAGCCAUCCUUUCCAAGACUUUCAGUAUAGGCAUGCUUCUAGGAAGCAUACUGACCAUGAGGAAGCCCACGUGUUAGUGACCAGUUUUUGCUAAUCCCACCGAAGAAAAUGAAGCCACGUUCCAGCUUUGCCGAUCCUUUUCCCACCCUGUUGGCUGAAUGAGAAGCGGUCGUGU